UGUGCUUGGAGACUGGUGAUGACCCUGCGGUUUCGAUCACUUCUAAGGUUCAAACCUGUGAACGCGUGAUUUACAAACGAUGUGUGCAGUUUGGGACUUUCACACUGUACUAAUCUCUCGGAGCUAUCGCGCCCCCGCCAGGACUCUCUAUGGUACGUCCCCACGCAGGCAGUAGGCGGAACGUCUCCAAGGCGGGCUCGGUAUGGGCGUGUCUACUCGCUGGGAGGCGGGGCCUCGCAGGCCUCAGGCCACGUGUCUAGGUUUUUAAGGUCCCAGGUUUCUGCUGGCCCGUCUAACUGUUGCUUUCAGUUUUCGUCUACGGUGUGGUCAGCAGCAGGCAAGACAAUACGGAUUACCCCAGUGCUGAAAUCCUCGGUUCCUACAGCGGGUAUCGCUAAACUCCGGUGUCUAUAGAGUGUCAGGAUCCCCCAGUCACCAAAGCCUGCAUUUCUGUGGCUCUUCAUAGUCCUGGUCCUCUAUCCCUUCUUGCCUUCUCUCUAUCCAUUGCUGCUAACUCUUCACAGUUUCAGCCCUCUCUGCUAAUGAUAAAGAUUAAAAGUAGGCCAUCGGGGACUAGAGAGAUGGGUAAGUGGUUAAUAAUCUUCCUACUCAUCCAGAGGACCAGAGUUUGGUUCCCAGCCCUGAGGUCACUCUCGCACACACAAACACGUAAAUU
rnacentral:lncRNA from 1 species